rnacentral:rRNA from 1 species
GUUCACGCAGUGACGGUAUCCAACCAGAAAGUCACGGCUAACUACGUGCCAGCAGCCGCGGUAAUACGUAGGUGGCAAGCGUUAUCCGGAUUUAUUGGGCGUAAAGCGAGCGCAGGCGGUUACUUAGGUCUGAUGUGAAAGCCUUCGGCUUAACCGAAGAAGUGCAUCGGAAACCGGGCGACUUGAGUGCAGAAGAGGACAGUGGAACUCCAUGUGUAGCGGUGGAAUGCGUAGAUAUAUGGA